rnacentral:rRNA from 1 species
GACGAACGCUGGCGGCGUGCUUAACACAUGCAAGUCGAACGGAAAGGCCCUGCUUUUGUGGGGUGCUCGAGUGGCGAACGGGUGAGUAACACGUGAGUAACCUGCCCUUGACUUUGGGUUAACUUCAGGAAACUGGGGCUAAUACCGGAUAGGAGCUCCUGCUGCAUGGUGGGGGUUGGAAAGUUUCGGCGGUUGGGGAUGGACUCGCGGCUUAUCAGCUUGUUGGUGGGGUAGUGGCUUACCAAGGCUUUGACGGGUAGCCGGCCUGAGAGGGUGACCGGCCACAUUGGGACUGAGAUACGGCCCAGACUCCUACGGGAGGCAGCAGUGGGGAAUAUUGCACAAUGGGCGGAAGCCUGAUGCAGCAACGCCGCGUGCGGGAUGACGGCCUUCGGGUUGUAAACCGCUUUCGCCUGUGACGAAGCGUGAGUGACGGUAAUGGGUAAAGAAGCACCGGCUAACUACGUGCCAGCAGCCGCGGUGAUACGUAGGGUGCGAGCGUUGUCCGGAUUUAUUGGGCGUAAAGGGCUCGUAGGUGGUUGAUCGCGUCGGAAGUGUAAUCUUGGGGCUUAACCCCUGAGCGUGCUUUCGAUACGGGUUGACUUGAGGAAGGUAGGGGAGAAUGGAAUUCCUGGUGGAGCGGUGGAAUGCGCAGAUAUCAGGAGGAACACCAGUGGCGAAGGCGGUUCUCUGGGCCUUUCCUGACGCUGAGGAGCGAAAGCGUGGGGAGCGAACAGGCUUAGAUACCCUGGUAGUCCACGCUGUAAACGGUGGGUACUAGGUGUGGGGUCCAUUCCACGGGUUCCGUGCCGUAGCUAACGCUUUAAGUACCCCGCCUGGGGAGUACGGCCGCAAGGCUAAAACUCAAAGGAAUUGACGGGGCCCCGCACAAGCGGCGGAGCAUGCGGAUUAAUUCGAUGCAACGCGUAGAACCUUACCUGGGUUUGACAUGGAUCGGGAGUGCUCAGAGAUGGGUGUGCCUCUUUUGGGGUCGGUUCACAGGUGGUGCAUGGCUGUCGUCAGCUCGUGUCGUGAGAUGUUGGGUUAAGUCCCGCAACGAGCGCAACCCUUGUUCACUGUUGCCAGCACGUUAUGGUGGGGACUCAGUGGAGACCGCCGGGGUCAACUCGGAGGAAGGUGGGGAUGACGUCAAGUCAUCAUGCCCCUUAUGUCCAGGGCUUCACGCAUGCUACAAUGGCUGGUACAGAGAGUGGCGAGCCUGUGAGGGUGAGCGAAUCUCGGAAAGCCGGUCUCAGUUCGGAUUGGGGUCUGCAACUCGACCUCAUGAAGUCGGAGUCGCUAGUAAUCGCAGAUCAGCAACGCUGCGGUGAAUACGUUCCCGGG